rnacentral:sRNA from 1 species
AAAUAUAUUAUAUAUGCAACUGAUUACUGACUACUCCGCAUGCCAUUAAUAUUUUUCACAACGAGACAAAUAGUUUAAUAU